rnacentral:rRNA from 1 species
GACGAACGCUGGCGGCGUGCUUAACACAUGCAAGUCGAACGGUAAGGCCCUUCGGGGUACACGAGUGGCGAACGGGUGAGUAACACGUGGGUGAUCUGCCCUGCACUUCGGGAUAAGCCUGGGAAACUGGGUCUAAUACCGGAUAGGACUCCUGGCUUCAUGGUUGGGGGUGGAAAGCUUUUGCGGUGUGGGAUGGGCCCGCGGCCUUUCAGCUUGUUGGUGGGGUAAUGGCCUACCAGGGCGACGACGGGUAGCCGGCCUGAGAGGGUGACCGGUCACACUGGGACUGAGAUACGGCCCAGACUCCUACGGGAGGCAGCAGUGGGGAAGAUUGCACAAUGGGCAAGCCUGAUGCAGCGACGCCGCGUGAGGGAUGACGGCCUUCGGGUUGUAAACCUCUUUCAGCUAUGACGAAGCGCAAGUGACGGUAGUAGCAGAAGAAGGACCGGCCAACUACGUGCCAGCCGCCGCAGUAA